GUAGCGGGUGUGAGAGCACGACCCGCGCCACUGGCACUGAGACACUGGCCAGACACCUACGGGUGGCUGCAGUCGAGGAUCUUCGGCAAUGGGCGCAAGCCUGACCGAGCGACGCCGCGUGUGCGAUGAAGGCCUUCGGGUUGUAAAGCACUGUCGAGGGGGAGGAAGCCGCAAGGUUGGCCUAUCCCUGGAGGAAGCACGGGCUAAGUUCGUGCCAGCAGCCGCGGUAAGACGAACCGUGCAAACGUUGUUCGGAAUCACUGGGCUUAAAGGGCGCGUAGGCGGGUUUCCAAGUCUGUGGUGAAAGCCUCCAGCUUAACUGGAGAAGUGCCGUGGAUACUGGGGACCUCGAGGAGGGUAGGGGCAUCUGGAACUGCCGGUGGAGCGGUGAAAUGCGUUGAUAUCGGCAGGAACUCCGAUGGCGAAGGCAAGGUGCUGGACCCUUUCUGACGCUGAGGCGCGAAAGCCAGGGGAGCAAACGGGAUUAGAUACCCCGGUAGUCCUGGCCCUAAACGAUGAGAACUAGGUAGUGGACUUACAUGGGUUCACUGUCGAAGCAAAAGUGCUAAGUUCUCCGCCUGGGGAGUAUGGUCGCAAGGCUGAAACUCAAGGGAAUUGACGGGGGCUCACACAAGCGGUGGAACAUGUGGCUUAAUUCGAGGCUACGCGAAGAACCUUAUCCUGGACUUGACAUGUCCGAAAGGGGCAGGAAGUAGGGAGCGGAAACGCCACCCGAAC
rnacentral:rRNA from 1 species